CGAGUGGCGAACGGGUGAGUAAUAUAUCGGAACGUGCCCAGUAGUGGGGGAUAGCCGGCGAAGCCGGAUUAAUACCGCAUACGACCUACGGGUGAAAGCGGGGGAUCGCAAGACCUCGCGCUAUUGGAGCGGCCGAUAUCAGAUUAGGUAGUUGGUGGGGUAAAAGCCUACCAAGCCAACGAUCUGUAGCUGGUCUGAGAGGACGACCAGCCACGCUGGGACUGAGACACGGCCCAG
rnacentral:rRNA from 1 species